GCAUGGUGGCUUAGUGGUUAGCACGUUUGGCUCACACCCCCUCAAACCCCCCUCGCCUCAAAGGGUCCAGGGGUUCGAUUCCCGCCAGGGCCA